GUGGGGAAUCUUAGACAAUGGGGGAAACCCUGAUCUAGCCAUGCCGCGUGAGCGAUGAAGGCCUUAGGGUUGUAAAGCUCUUUCAGCUGGGAAGAUAAUGACGGUACCAGCAGAAGAAGCCCCGGCUAACUCCGUGCCAGCAGCCGCGGUAAUACGGAGGGGGCUAGCGUUGUUCGGAAUUACUGGGCGUAAAGCGCGCGUAGGCGGACCAGAAAGCUGGAGGUGAAAUCCCAGGGCUCAACCUUGGAAAUGCCUUCAAAACUCCUGAUCUGGAGUUCGAGAGAGGUGGAUGGAAUUCCGAGUGUAGAGGUGAAAUUCGUAGAUAUUCGGAGGAACACCAGUGGCGAAGGCGGCUCACUGGCUCGAUACUGACGCUGAGGUGCGAAAGCGUGGGGAGCAAACAGGAUUAGAAACCCUGGUAGUCC
rnacentral:rRNA from 1 species